rnacentral:tRNA from 1 species
GGGAACGUAACUCAGACCGGGAGAGUGCCACGCUGAAGACGUGGAAGUCGAGGGUUCAAAUCCCUCCGUUCCCA